UUUUAUACGACUCCCCUAUAGGGCGAAUUGGGCCCGACGUCGCAUGCUCCCGGCCGCCAUGGCCGCGGGAUUCUCUGUUGUGAGGGAAGAACAAGUACCACUUAACUACUGGUACCUUGACGGUACCUCACCAGAAAGCCACGGCUAACUACGUGCCAGCAGCCGCGGUAAUACGUAGGUGGCAAGCGUUGUCCGGAAUUAUUGGGCGUAAAGCGCGCGCAGGCGGUCCCUUAAGUCUGAUGUGAAAGCCCACGGCUCAACCGUGGAGGGUCAUUGGAAACUGGGGGACUUGAGUGCAGAAGAGGAAAGUGGAAUUCCACGUGUAGCGGUGAAAUGCGUAGAGAUGUGGAGGAACACCAGUGGCGAAGGCGACUUUCUGGUCUGUAACUGACGCUGAGGCGCGAAAGCGUGGGGAGCAAACAGGAUUAGAUACCCUGGUAGUCCACGCCGUAAACGAUGAGUGCUAAGUGUUAGGGGGUUUCCGCCCCUUAGUGCUGCAGCUAACGCAUUAAGCACUCCGCCUGGGGAGUACGGUCGCAAGGCUGAAACUCAAAUGAAUUGACGGGG
rnacentral:rRNA from 1 species